AAUAAUAAAGCUUAAUUUUAUUAGUUUUAAUUAAUUUAUUUAAAGGAAUUUUAAAUUAAAAUUUAUUAGGUGAAAUUUUAAUUUUUAAUUAUAAUUUUUUAUAUUAAUGAUAUUAAGAAAUUUUAUUAUUAAACUAGGAUUAGAUACCCUAUUAUUAAAAAUGUAAAUGUAUAAUACUUAAUUAGUAUUAGUUAUGUUCUUGAAAAUUAAAGAUUUUGGCGGUAUUUUAGUCUAUUCAGAGGAACCUGUUCUGUAAUUGAUAGUCCACGAUUUAAUUUACUUUUUUUAAUAAUUUAUAUAUCGUCGUAAUUUGAAUAUUUUAAAAGAAUAAUAAUAUUCAAUAUAUUUUUAAAGUAAAAAAUCAGAUCAAGGUAUAGUUUAUAGAAAAGUAGAAAUGGGUUACAAUAAAUUUAUUUAAGAAUUAUUAGAUGUAAAAUAAAUAUGAAUAUGGAUUUGAUAGUAAUUUAAUUAAAAUUAUUUAAAUGAUUUAAGCUCUAAAAUAUGCACAUAUUGCCCGUCGCUUUCAUUUUAAAGUGAAAUAAGUCGUAACAAAGUAGAUUUACUGGAAAGUGAAUCUAGAAAGAUCAAAUUAGAGCUUGGUAUAAAGUAUUUUAUUUACAUUAAAAAGUAAAUUGUGAAAUUCAAUUUAAUUUGAAAUUAAUAAAUUAUUAUUUAUUAAAAAUAAAAUUAUGAAUUUAUAAUAAGAAAAUUUAUUUUUAUUAUUAUUUAAGAAAAAAUUUAAUUAAUAAUAGUUAAUUAGUAUUGUAAAAGAAUUUUUUAUAUAAAUUUAAGAAAAACUUAUUUUU
rnacentral:rRNA from 1 species